rnacentral:rRNA from 1 species
AUGGCUCUUGUGAAGAACAACGUGCAGACUAUGUGCCUGGUCGCUCUUCUUGUAAUGUCUACCACUUUCUUGCCCUCUCAUGUAGAAGGAAGGGUGAUAGAUACCAAGGAGACGAUCCUCACUUCGUGUUUACUUUGGAAAAGCUGCACAAUCGAUUUAUGCAAGCAAAACUGUUCAAUACGUGGAUAUGCUAAGAGUGAAAGCAGUUGUGUAUCAUACAACAAAGCUAACUACUGCUGCUGUGCGACGAAGUGA